rnacentral:rRNA from 1 species
ACCAGACUCCUACGGGAGGCAGCAGUGGGGGAUAUUGCACAAUGGGGGAAACCCUGAUGCAGCGACGCCGCGUGAGUGAAGAAGUAUUUCGGUAUGUAAAGCUCUAUCAGCAGGGAAGAAAAAAGACGGUACCUGACUAAGAAGCCCCGGCUAACUACGUGCCAGCAGCCGCGGUAAUACGUAGGGGGCAAGCGUUAUCCGGAUUUACUGGGUGUAAAGGGAGCGUAGACGGCAAUACAAGUCGGAAGUGAAAUACCCGGGCUCAACCUGGGAACUGCUUUGGAAACUGUAUGGCUGGAGUGCUGGAGAGGUAAGCGGAAUUCCUAGUGUAGCGGUGAAAUGCGUAGAUAUCAGGAGGAACACCGGUGGCGAAGGCGGCUUACUGGACCAUAACUGACGUUGAGGCUCGAAAGCGUGGGGAGCGAACGGGAUUAGAUACCCGAGUA